rnacentral:rRNA from 1 species
AUUGAACGCUGGCGGCAGGCCUAACACAUGUAAGUCGAGUGAGCGGCGGACGGGAGAGUAAUGUAUGGGGCCUGCCCGAUAGAGGGGGAUCACUACUGGAAACGGUGGCUAAUACCGCAUACUAACGGAUAACCACUAUGGGAUUCGCUAGUAGGUGGGGUAAAGGCUCACCUAGGCGACGAUCUCUAGCUGAUCUGAGAGACUGAACAGCCAAACUGGGACUGAGACACGGCCCAGACGCCUACGGAGGGAGAAGUGGGGAAUAUUGCACAAUGGGCGAAAGCCUGAUGCAGCCAUGCCGCGUGUAUGAAGAAGGCCUUAGGGUUGUAAAGUACUGUCAGCGGGGAGGCGUUACCCGCAGAAGAAGCACCGGCUAACUCCGUGCCAGCCGCCGCGGUAAUAC